rnacentral:lncRNA from 1 species
AAAACCAGCUUCCGAUUAAACGUAAAAAAUAUUUUUUUUUUAAGUUUAUUUUUUUUUCUUCUAGUUCUAGUUUGUCUUUAGACUUAAUCUUUUAGAUUAAAUAGUGGAUGACCUAUUAGAAAAUGAAAAUUUUAGUAUUAGUAGGGAUCAAAUAAUUCUACCUUCUUCUUAACAAUUUUUUUGGGUGCAUUAUUUUUUUAAAAAAGUUUUAAAAUUUUAAGUAACUUUAAUGUUUCAAUUGAUUUUUUUUAAUUUGUU